UCCGUAGGUGGAUAAUUAAGUCAGAGCUGAAAUCCUGCAGCUCAACUGUAGAAUUGCCUUUGAUACUGGUUAUCUUGAGUCAUUAUGAAGUGGUUAGAAUGUGUAGUGUAGCGGUGAAAUGCAUAGAUAUUACACAGAAUACCGAUUGCGAAGGCAGAUCACUAAUAAUGUACUGACACUGAUGGACGAAAGCGUGGGGAGCGAACAGGAUUAAUACCCUGGUAGUCC
rnacentral:rRNA from 1 species